AUGAGCUUGGGAGGCAGUUGCAGCUACUAAUUUAUAUAAUGAAAAACCUCUCAAUUUUUUCAGGGGCUAAUUUUACUAGUGGCAGAACAGCCCCUGCUACUUUAGAAUGCACCAACUUUAUGGAAGCAAAGUAAAUUGUCAGUCAGGUAAAUUGGGAACUUUGGUUAGUUUGAUUAAAAUAUUUUUUUCACAUUUAUGAUGACUCCAAGAGUAGGGGCGGCUUGAUUUCUAGUGCACACCUCCAGUGGGUUGUACAACUGUUUGCCACUUUUUUUAUGUUUUCUAAUGAAGUCAUUGAUCUGAAAUGGUAACACUGUUUCUCUCCAUAGAUACUGCCAGACCUGUUAACUAUUUGUGAUCUUAUUUCUUUUACAAGUCAAGGCUCUCUUCAGUUCUCUCCAAGUGCCUGUUAACUUGACCAGUACUGAUGUUAAAUUUCCCAACCUGCAGUUACUCCGGACAACCUUCCAAACUUCCAUGAACAAAGCUGAAAAAAUUGGAACUUUCCGAACCUGUGGCACUGAUCCUCUGAAUCUAAGAAUUAUUGGAAGGAGCCCUGGCUUCAGAUCCCCUGCUUGCAUCGGAAAUUAUUUCAUAUAUGAGCCCAGCACAUCAGUGCAAAAGAUAAGGCUGAAGCUUUUGCAGCAAUCUUCAGCCAGAAGUGCCCAGUGGAUGAUCCUUCUCAGCCUCUUCCAGUAGUCUCCAGCAUCACAGAUAUCAGUCUUCAGCCAAUUCAAAUCUCUCCACAUGAUAUCAAGAAGUGGAUGGAGACAUUGGGUACUGCAAAAGCUGUGGACCUUGACAACAUUUCCGCAACAGUACUGAAGACUUGUGCUCGAGAAGGUGCCACUCCCUUAGCCGAGCUAUCCCAAUGCAGUAACAACACUGGUCCCUAUCCUACAAUGUGGAAAAUUGCCUAAGUAUGAAAAAAACUAGGACAAACCCGGCCAA